AACGCCAAGGUGUCCGCCUUCGGGGCGGGUGAAAAGGGAAUCCGGUGUGAAUCCGGAACGAUGCAGUCACUGUGUACGGGAGCGACGCUGCAAGCCACUGGGCAACCGGGAAGGGCAGCGCAGCAAGGAACGAAGUCAGGAGACCUGCCUUGGCGU
rnacentral:ncRNA from 1 species